rnacentral:rRNA from 1 species
AGUGAACGCUGGCGGUAGGCCUAACACAUGCAAGUCGAACGGCAGCACAGUAAGAGCUUGCUCUUACGGGUGGCGAGUGGCGGACGGGUGAGGAAUACAUCGGAAUCUACUUUUUCGUGGGGUAUAACGUAGGGAAACUUACGCUAAUACCGCAUACUACCUACGGGUGAAAGCAGGGGAUCUUCGGACCUUGCGCUAUUGAAUGAGCCGAUGUCGGAUCAGCUAGUUGGCGGGGUAAAGGCCCACCAAGGCGACGAUCCGUAGCUGGUUUGAGAGGAUGAUCAGCCACACUGGAACUGAGACACGGUCCAGACUCCUACGGGAGGCAGCAGUGGGGAAUAUUGGACAAUGGGCGCAAGCCUGAUCCAGCCAUACCGCGUGGGUGAAGAAGGCCUUCGGGUUGUAAAGCCCUUUUGUUGGGAAAGAAAAGCAGCAGGUUAAUACCCCGCUGUUCUGACGGUACCCAAAGAAUAAGCACCGGCUAACUUCGUG